UACGUAGGAGGCGAGCGUUAUCCGGAUUUACUGGGCGUAAAGCGGGCGUAGGCGGUCCUUCAAGUCGGAUGUAAAAUCUCCCGGCUCAACUGGGAGGGACCAUUCGAAACUGCUGGACUUGAGGAUAGCAGAGGGAGGUGGAAUUCCCGGUGUAGUGGUGAUAUGCGUAGAUAUCGGGAGGAACACCAGUGGCGAAGGCGGCCUCCUGGGCUAUUUCUGACGCUGAGGCCCAAAAGCGUGGGGAGCGAACAGGAUUAGAUACCCCCGUA
rnacentral:rRNA from 1 species